GCAGUUCGUCCCUACCUGCGUUGUCCUG
rnacentral:sRNA from 1 species